rnacentral:rRNA from 1 species
CCUACGGGGGGCGGCAGUAAGGAGUUUUCGGCAAUGGGGGAAACCCUGACCGAGCAACGCCGCGUGAGUGAUGAAGGUCCUUUGGAUUGUAAAGCUCUGUUGUAAGCCAUGAAUGGUAGCUAUAGGAAAUGAUAGUUACUUGACGACAGCUUACCAGAAAGCCACGGCUAACUACGUGCCAGCAGCCCCGGUC